rnacentral:rRNA from 1 species
CUCAGUUCGGAUUGGAGUCUGCAACCCGACUCCAUGAAGCUGGAUUCGCUAGUAAUCGCGCAUCAGCCACGGCGCGGUGAAUACGUUCCCGGGCCUUGUACACACCGCCCGUCAGGCCAUGGGAGCCGGGGGUACCUGAAGUGCGUGACCGCAAGGAGCGCCCUAAGGUAAAACCGGUGACUGGGGCUAAGUCGUAACAAGGUAUC